UUACUGCUGACAAAUAUCUUUUGUUCAGCAGGGAGGUAAAAGUAAUAUUCUCUCAUUUCCUUAGGAUACUCUACAAAAUAUACUUAUCGGAACUAGGUCCGAGCUUGUCGGUUUGUAAUCGUUUGACAUAAGCCGGAUAUCCCCAGACCUUAAGGUAAGUGAGAUUCGGCCUACGCUCUGACCAUAUCUCAUAUGGUAUUUUACUAACUGACUUACUCGAAAUAUUAUUGAGAACAAAACAGGCUGUCUAAGUGUAUAUCCUCAAAAAG
rnacentral:lncRNA from 1 species